rnacentral:misc_RNA from 1 species
GUGAAUCAUCGAAUUUUUGAACGCAAAUUGCGCCUUUUUCGGAAGGCAUGUCUGUUUGAGGGCACCAUUUAACAAAUAAUGUGCAGCGGUGGUUGGUGCACACGUUGAUGAGCUUUCAAAGAAUUUUAAAUUUGUGGUGGCACAUAAUGAACAGCGUGAAAGUUAUUUGCAGGGCGAGUGCAGGAAAAGCGUUACUUAGGUGGUGGUAA